rnacentral:tRNA from 13 species
UCCCACAUGGUCUAGUGGUUAGGAUACCUGGCUCUCACCCAGGAGGCCCGGGUUCAAUUCCCGGUGUGGGAA